rnacentral:rRNA from 2 species
GGAUGCGAUCAUACCAGCACUAAAGCACCGGAUCCCAUCAGAACUCCGAAGUUAAGCGUGCUUGGGCGAGAGUAGUACUAGGAUGGGUGACCUCCUAGGAAGUCCUCGUGUUGCAUACC